AAUUGUAGAGUUUGAUCAUGGCUCAGAUUGAACGCUGGCGGCAGGCCUAACACAUGCAAAUCGAGCGGUAGCACAAGAGAGCUGCUCUCCCGGUGACGAGAGAGCGGAAGGGUGAGUAAUGUCCGGGAAACUGCCUGAUGGUGGGGAAUAACUACUAGUGGAAACGGUAGCUAAUACCGCAUAACGUCGCAAGACCAAAGUGGGGAACCUUCGGGCCGCACGCCAUCAGAUGUGUCCAGGUGGGAUUAGCUAGCAGGUGGGGUAACGGCUCACCUAGGCGACGAUCCCUAGCUGGUCUGAGAGGAUGAGCAGCCACACUGAAACUGAGACACGGUCCAGACUCCUACGGGAGGCAGCAGUGGGGAAUAUUGCACAAUGGGCGCAAGCCUGAUGCAGCC
rnacentral:rRNA from 1 species